UACAGAGACUGCAAGCGUUAUUCGGAUUCACUGGGCGUAAAGGGUGCGCAGGCGGUCCUUUAAGUCGGGGGUGAAAGCCCAGAGCUCAACUCUGGAACUGCCUUCGAAACUAGAGGACUUGGGUACGGGAGAGGUGAGUGGAAUUCCGAGUGUAGAGGUGAAAUUCGUAGAUAUUCGGAAGAACACCAGUGGCGAAGGCGGCUCACUGGCCCGUUACCGACGCUCAGGCGCGACAGCGUGGGGAGCAAACAGG
rnacentral:rRNA from 1 species